AAACGACAUUUGAAAUCAAGAGUGCCAACGUGAAAGAUCUUGAAGUCGGGAAAACCGUUCACGUAGACAUUAUCAUUCAGGCUAUAAAAGAAUUACACUCUAAUCCCCAACUCAAAUUGGGAUGUGUUCACAUCGGAUAAGGUCAGAGUUCCCUGCGUCCUCGGCCUCGGUUCGUGCACGUACAAGAUGUGUGACGGCAGCUCUGGAAUGGAGAAAUUUCUGUCCUCUGCCUGGGAAGGAAAAUGUCCAAUCAAGGCGCAGAAGUACGAGAAAACACUCUCCUUCUAUGUGCCAAGUAUUUUAAGGACAUCGAUCGGGGACGGCCGUUUCCACUUUCGAGCAGAAAUGAUGGACGGAGGGAAGACUGUCGGUUGCCAAGAGUUCGACGUACGUAUCAAAGUGUAGCUUCGAAGACUAUCCGGCUUCGCAGUUGUGGCAGCGCAACCAGGAAGGCCACAAAUCUAGUUGUUCUGAGCCACUCAUAAGUGCCUAGUGCCUCGGCUAAUGUCACUCGGUUUGUAAAUCACUAUUAAAAUGAAACAGUAAUAAAUUCAUU